GAUGAACGCUGGCGGCGUGCCUAAUACAUGCCAGUCGAGCGAACAGACGAGGAGCUUGCUCCUCUGACGUUAGCGGCGGACGGGUGAGUAACACGUGGAUAACCUACCUAUAAGACUGGGAUAACUUCGGGAAACCGGAGCUAAUACCGGAUAAUAUAUUGAACCGCAUGGUUCAAUAGUGAAAGACGGUUUUGCUGUCACUUAUAGAUGGAUCCGCGCCGCAUUAGCUAGUUGGUAAGGUAACGGCUUACCAAGGCAACGAUGCGUAGCCGACCUGAGAGGGUGAUCGGCCACACUGGAACUGAGACACGGUCCAGACUACUACGGGAGGCAGCAGUAGGGAAUCUUCCGCAAUGGGCGAAAGCCUGACGGAGCAACGCCGCGUGAGUGAUGAAGGUCUUCGGAUCGUAAAACUCUGUUAUUAGGGAAGAACAAAUGUGUAAGUAACUAUGCACGUCUUGACGGUACCUAAUCAGAAAGCCACGGCUAACUACGUG
rnacentral:rRNA from 1 species